UACUGAAUCUUAAACAUGUCUUUAAGAUCAAGACACUGUGGGAAGAUCUAUAAGGAAAGAGAUGCACAAGACCAAAGUAACAAAGUUCAACUGGGUCUUCAGAUGUACCAUUGGUUGUUAGGAAGAAAUGAAGCCUGUGAGUGGGUAAAGGUGGGUGAAUUGGUAAAGCCAUGCAAGAAAGCCAUAAAAAGCAUGUCAAGAGUGAGAAACGUGAAAGAAGCUCCAAAGAGAGAACACGGACAGAGCAAAGUAUUUGUGUGUUCCUUUGUAGGAAGAUGGGGAAGUGCAGUUUUGAAUCAGUAAAGAUAAAAAAUCAACACAGAAGGACUUUGCUCUAUACAAAGGCAACCACAUAGAGGAUUUCUAUUCAGUUUCCUGUCUGGUACAGAUACCCAAUUUAUGAAUCA
rnacentral:lncRNA from 1 species